rnacentral:rRNA from 1 species
AAGGCGCUGCAAGGCGCCACUAAAAGAUGAGGGUGCGGAACAUUAGUUAGUUGGUGAGGUAAUGGCCCACCAAGACUAUGAUGUUUAGCCGGGUCGAGAGACUGAACGGCCACAUUGGGACUGAGAUACGGCCCAAACUCCUACGGGAGGCAGCAGUAGGGAAUAUUCCACAAUGAGCGAAAGCUUGAUGGAGCGACACAGCGUGCACGAUGAAGGUCUUCGGAUUGUAAAGUGCUGUUAUAAGGGAAGAACAUUUGCAAUAGGAAAUGAUUGCAGACUGACGGUACC